rnacentral:rRNA from 1 species
UACAGAGGGGGCAAGCGUUAUUCGGAAUUAUUGGGCGUAAAGGGCGCGUAGGCGGCAUGGCAAGUCGGGAGUGAAAGGCCUGGGCUCAACCGAGGAACUGCUUUCGAGACUGCCAAGCUAGAGUGCGGAAGGGGCAUCUGGAAUUCCCAGUGUAGCGGUGAAAUGCGUAGAUAUUGGGAAGAACACCUGAGGCGAAGGCGGGAUGCUGGGCCGACACUGACGCUGAGGCGCGAAAGCCAGGGGAGCAAACGGG